ACUGCUCAGUAACACGUGGAUAACCUGCCCUUGGGUCCGGCAUAACUCCGGGAAACUGGAGAUAAUUCCGGAUAACGCACAUAUGCUGGAAUGCUUUAUGCGUAAAAUGGAUUCGUCUGCCCAAGGAUGGGUCUGCGGCCUAUCAGGUAGUAGUGGGUGUAAUGUACCUACUAGCCAACAACGGGUACGGGUUGUGAGAGCAAGAGCCCGGAGAUGGAUUCUGAGACAUGAAUCCAGGCCCUACGGGGCGCAGCAGGCGCGAAAACUUUACAAUGCGGGAAACCGUGAUAAGGGGACACCGAGUGCUAGCAUCAUAUGCUGGCUGUCCAGGUGUGUAAAAUACACCUGUUAGCAAGGGCCGGGCAAGACCGGUGCCAGCCGCCGCGGUAACACCGGCGGCCCGAGUGGUGAUCGUGAUUAUUGGGUCUAAAGGGUCCGUAGCCGGUUUGGUCAGUCCUCCGGGAAAUCUGAUAGCUCAACUAUUAGGCUUUCGGGGGAUACUGCCAGGCUUGGAACCGGGAGAGGUAAGAGGUACUACAGGGGUAGGAGUGAAAUCUUGUAAUCCCUGUGGGACCACCUGUGGCGAAGGCGUCUUACCAGAACGGGUUCGACGGUGAGGGACGAAAGCUGGGGGCACGAACCGGAUUAGAUACCCGGGUAGUCCCAGCCGUAAACGAUGCUCGCUAGGUGUCAGGCAUGGCGCGACCGUGUCUGGUGCCGCAGGGAAGCCGUGAAGCGAGCCACCUGGGAAGUACGGCCGCAAGGCUGAAACUUAAAGGAAUUGGCGGGGGAGCAC
rnacentral:rRNA from 1 species